rnacentral:ribozyme from 1 species
AGUCGUCUGGACGACUAAAAAAAGACAUUAGGUCCAGAGCGUUCCGAUCAUUAUUGAUCGGAGGUUGUA